rnacentral:rRNA from 1 species
CAAUCGGAAAUAUUCCGAGAUGGCAAAUAUUCGGAGAUGACUAUGAAAACACCUCUCUGGAUCCUUGAAUUGAAAGAUAGAUUGAGAGGGAUCAAGAAUCCUAAUUCUCGCUAUUUGGAAUUGAUCCAAUUCUAUCGAGUCUGA